AAAAGCUCGUAGUUGGAUUUCUGGCAGUGUGACUCCGGCCGGCAUGACGUCGGGUCCAGAGCGCGCUACCAUCCUUCUGUCAACCUUCGCGGGAUUGAUUUCCCGCCCUGGGGCUCAGAUAUUUUACCUUGAGAAAAUUAGAGUGUUUCAGGCAGGCUUUCGCCGGAAUACAUUAGCAUGGAAUAAUGGAAAAGGACUUCAACCUCUUCUGUUGGUCUGAGAGGCUGUAGUAAUGAUUAAUAGGGAUAGUUGGGGGCAUUAGUACUUGACUGUCAGAGGUGAAAUUCUCCGAUUUGUUAAAGACUAACUUAUGCGAAAGCAUUUGCCAAGGAUGUUUUCAUUAAUCAAGAACGAAAGUUAGGGGAUCAAAGACGAUCAGAUACCGUCCUAGUCUUAACCAUAAACUAUGCCGACUCGGGAUCGGAGGCGCGCAAAAUCGGUCUUCGGCACCGUAUGAGAAAUCAAAGUCUCUGGGUUCUGGGGGGAGUAUGGUCGCAAGGCUGAAACUUAAAGGAAUUGACGGAAGGGCACCACCAGGCGUGGAGCUUGCGGCUCAAUUUGACUCAACACGGGAAAACUCACCAGGUCCAGACAUAGUAAGGAUUGACAGAUUGAUAGCUCUU
rnacentral:rRNA from 1 species